rnacentral:lncRNA from 1 species
CAACCUAAUAAGUAACUGUGAGAUGUACAGAAAGGUGUUCUUACAUGAAGAAGGGUGUGAAGGCUGAACAAUCAUGGAUUUUUCUGAUCAAUUGUGCUUUAGGAAAUUAUUGACAGUUUUGCACAGGUUCUUGAAAACGUUAUUUAUAAUGAAAUCAACUAAAACUAUUUUUGCUAUAAGUUCUAUAAGGUGCAUAAAACCCUUAAAUUCAUCUAGUAGCUGUUCCCCCGAACAGGUUUAUUUUAGUAAAAAAAAAAAAACAAAAAACAAAAACAAAAGAUUUUUAUCAAAUGUUAUGAUGCAAAAAAAGAAAAAGAAAAAAAAAAAGAAAAGAAAACUUCAAUUUUCUGGGUAUGCACAAAGACCAUGAAGACUUAUCCAAGUGCAUGACCGGAUUUUUGUGGUUUUGUUCAUUUUGUGUUUAAUUUGUGUUUUUUUUUUCCAGCUGUAUGAAAUGGGCUUUCUGAAGUUUAAAUAGUCCGACUUCACCCAUGGUGUUCUGUGCUUGCAGUGCGAGUGUUGCUGUAAUUCAGUGUUGCCGUCAGUGUCUCUUUUCUUAGCUUUCUGUCUUUCUUUCAACGUAGUGUGAAGUGUCUUAUCCUUUUCUAUGAAUUCCAAUUUGCCUUAACUCUUUUGAUGCUGUAGCUGUUUCAGUAAAAGUUAGUUCAAACUAAUGA